CUGGGACGAGAAGCCUCAGUUAUCGUGAACAACAAUCCACGAAUAAUUUGAUCGCAUCGCAGUCAUUUGGUAACUUAAAAAUCGACCAAAAAUUCAAAAAGUUCACAAGAAUCAAUCCAGAUCGAUGAAAAUGUCUCGUCGUUGCUCGCCACUCUUGAUUGCCCUCUUAAUCCAUCUUUUGUGUCAUCAAGGGAAGUCAAUCAAGUGCAAAGCCUGUUUCUCAUACGGGACUUCUGUCACGCAAUCUUCAUGCGACAAAUCAAACCUGUCAUUGGUGGACUGCAGUAAGAUAAACGCCGACACUUGCUACAGGGUAACUUACGCAACGACUUUUGCAAAAAAUAUGACAGUCUUUGCCAUCGAGGAAAGCUGCACUUUUACUUCGAAAUGUCCAAAAUUUUGUGAGAUGAUUAGUAAAGCAUCCGCGUUCCCACUGGACAGCUGUCAUGUCACCUGUUGUCAUAGCGAUAUGUGUAUCGGAAAUCUCCCAAAUAUGGACCCAUCAAAGAUCGAUAGUUCUUUAUUCGUGUGUUUUGUAAUCACUGUGCCCAUCGCUUUGUUUUAUCAGUAUCUCUAAAUAUAUAUUAUUAAAAAGUCAAAAAAGUAUUAUAUCCGUACACCUAUAAUGAGGAACUGAUUAGAUAAAAAACUGUUUAGUUAUACAGGACUAUCAUUCAAGUAGUUAAAGAGUCAAAACUUUAUGAAGAAAAACAAUCUAAUCUCAUUUAUCUCGCUUAUUUAACCCUUUUUAGAAUACAGCUGAGGCUUUUUUGGUUAAAUAUUAUUGUGUUAUAUGAAUAUUUCAUUUUGUUUAGAAUAGAGCGGACCAGGUUUUUAAUUAAUGAUCAAGUCGUGUAAUAAGGAAAACAAAUGCAAUAUUAUGAUAUUCGUUAUUUACAGACGAUAUACUCCAAACAGGAAAAACAUUGAAAAUGAUAUGAUCUGAGUUCGAAACUGAAAUACCACAUGUCUGGUAACGCAAAUAAUAAUAAUAAUAAUAAUAAUAAUAAUAAUAAUAAUAAUAAUAAUAAUGAUAAUAGUAAUAAUAAUAAUGAUAAUAAAAUCUUUAUUUAAUGAGUAAUCUAAUGGCUAAUCUUUCAUUCAUGGACUGGUUUACAAAGU